CACGUAGGGGGCAAGCGUUGUCCGGAUUCAUUGGGCGUAAAGAGCUCGUAGGCGGCUCAGUAAGUCGGGUGUGAAACCCUCAGGCUCAACCUGGGGACGCCACUCGAUACUGCUGUGGCUAGAGUCCAGUAGAGGAGUGUGGAAUUCCCGGUGUAGCGGUGAAAUGCGCAGAUAUCGGGAGGAACACCAACGGCGAAGGCAGCACUCUGGGCUGGAACUGACGCUGAGAAGCGAAAGCGUGGGUAGCAAACAGG
rnacentral:rRNA from 1 species